CUUAGACCUUUUGAGGACCAGGGAUGGAACUUGGGACCCCGGCCAAUGGCCUGGAGAAUGGAUACCCCAGCGACUGGUGACCUGGUGACCAGGAGGCCCAGCUCAGGAGUCACAGCUCGUUCUGGCCAGAGGGAAGACAAGGGGCUGUGAGGGGAGGACCCGGGUGACCUGACCAGGCAGUUCCAGCCAGAGGGGGCCAGAGGACGGCUGAGAGGAGAGGAGGCCCAGGAGACCCUGUUUAUCAGGAGAGAAGACAAUGGACAGAGGUGGGGCUUGGGGGUGGUGAUAUCGAUGCCCAGCUGGGAAGCAAGGGGCCUCGGGACUGGAGAGAGAGAACAGGCAGAGCCCACCUGGAGGCAGGCGAGACUUGGAUGUGCUGUGCUGGGGGAGGGCAGGCCCGAGGGCCCUGAGAGUUUCCUAUGCUGUGUUCAGACGCUCAAUAAACCCUCCUUUUUUAUGCCGGCUCAGAGUUGCUCCGGUCUAGAGAACAAGGUUGCAUUAUUCCCUCUGGGAGUGGAGGCCCCGGGGUCCAGAGCCAGUGGACUCCCAGAGAGACAGAUGUGCUAAGGCUCAGAGAGGUGCGGUUCCAGGAGAAGGAGGGGCUUAACCCCCGAGAGAGACUGGACCCCCGAGAAGGGCUGUUGCACUGAAGGGGGUUUCCCCCAGGGACUGCACAGGACCAAGAGUGGGCAUGACCUGUGAGUCCGUGACAGUAACUGUUAAUAAAUAGAGGUUAAGGAUAUUUCUGAGUAAGGCUCUUUCACUGGGAAAAG